GAUGAACGCUGGCGGCGUGCCUAAUACAUGCAAGUCGAGCGAACAGACGAGGCGCUUGCUCCUCUGACGUUAGCGGCGGACGGGUGAGUAACACGUGGAUAACCUACCUAUAAGACUGGGAUAACUUCGGGACACCGGAGCUAAUACCGGAUAAUAUAUUGAACCGCAUGGUUCAAUAGUGAAAGACGGUUUUGCUGUCACUUAUCGAUGGAUCCGCGCCGCAUUAGCUAGUUGGUAAGGUAACGGCUUACCAAGGCAACGAUGCGUAGCCGACCUGAGAGGGGGAUCGGCGACAUUGGAAGUGAGACACGGUCAAGACUCCUACGGGAGGCAGCAGUAGGGAAUCGGCCGCAAUGGUCGAAAGCCUGACGGAGCAACGCCGCGUGAGUGAUGAAGGUCUUCGGAUCGUAAAGCUCUGUUAUGAGGGAAAAACAAAUGUGUAAGUAACUAUGCACUUCUUGACGGUACCGAAUCAGAAAGCCACGGCUAACUACGUG
rnacentral:rRNA from 1 species